rnacentral:rRNA from 1 species
UACGUAGGUGGCAAGCGUUGUCCGGAUUUACUGGGCGUAAAGAGCGCGCAGGCGGUCGUUCAAGUCGCGUGUGAAAGCCCCCGGCUCAACUGGGGAGGGUCACGCGAUACUGAUCGACUCGAAGGCAGGAGAGGGUAGUGGAAUUCCAGGUGUAGCGGUGAAAUGCGUAGAUAUCUGGAGGAAUACCGGUGGCGAAGGCGGCAUCCUGGACCGACAUUGACGCUGAGGAGCGAAAGCUAGGGGAGCAAACGGG